UACGAAGGGUGCUAGCGUUGUUCGGAAUCACUGGGCGUAAAGGGCGCGUAGGCGGCAUGCCAAGCGUGUGGUGAAAGCCCGGGGCUCAACCCCGGGUCGGCCGUGCGGACUGGCGUGCUCGAGCACUGUAGGGGCGGGUGGAAUUCCGGGUGUAGCGGUGGAAUGCGUAGAGAUCCGGAAGAACACCGGUGGCGAAGGCGGCCCGCUGGGCAGGAAGGCUCGCAAGAGCCGGCUGACGCUGAGGCGCGACAGCGUGGGGAGCAAACAGG
rnacentral:rRNA from 1 species